GAAAAUAAAAUAAAACGCAUCAAAAAUUUAUUUUUUAAAUGAAUUUUAAACGGGAAAUAAGAGAGAAAAUCCAUAAAGCCCUUCAAAACACCAAAUAAAUGGCCAAGAAAAUUAUGGAAGGUUGGAAAUAAAAUAAGAAACAUAAAAUAAAAUUUUUGAAAAUUUUAAAUGUAUCAAAGUAUAUUUAAACUAAUUAAAACAAA
rnacentral:lncRNA from 1 species